rnacentral:rRNA from 1 species
GAUGAACGCUGGCGGCGUGCCUAAUACAUGCAAGUCGAGCGAAUGGAUUAAGAGCUUGCUCUUAUGAAGUUAGCGGCGGACGGGUGAGUAACACGUGGGUAACCUGCCCAUAAGACUGGGAUAACUCCGGGAAACCGGGGCUAAUACCGGAUAACAUUUUGAACCGCAUGGUUCGAAAUUGAAAGGCGGCUUCGGCUGUCACUUAUGGAUGGACCCGCGUCGCAUUAGCUAGUUGGUGAGGUAACGGCUAACCAAGGCAACGAUGCGUAGCCGACCUGGGAGGGUGAUCGGCCACACUGGGACUGAGACACGGCCCAGACUCCUACGGGAGGCAGCAGUAGGGAAUCUUCCGCAAUGGACGAAAGUCUGACGUAGCAACGCCGCGUGAGUGAUGAAGGCUUUCGGGUCGUAAAACUCUGUUGUUAGGGAAGAACAACUGCUAGUUGAAUAAGCUGGCACCUUGACGGUACCUAACCAGAAAGCCACGGCUAACUACGUGCCAGCAGCCGCGGUAA